AGUUGAGUUGAGUUGAGUAAAAUUUUGGUAAAGUUUUUAAAUAUAUAAUGUAGAUGCAAGAAAUUUGAAAGAUUUUUUUAGUGAUUCUUCUUGACAAAUUCUUGGUCUGCACUGAAAGAAAGGAAUAGAGAGCUUUUGAGUGAGAGGCAUUGUUGCUUUUUGUACUUAGAGUAUAGGUGUCUUUUGUAUUCACAUUAAUAAAUCUUGUACACUGUUUUAUGCCAUUUAUAAUUCUCUUAUGUUAUAGCUGUUGUAAAGUUCAGGAUACAUUUAUUGUUCCACAGAAUUGUUUUAUGCGUGUGUUGGUGCCUUAUUAGUUGACUCUUUUUUU
rnacentral:misc_RNA from 1 species